rnacentral:rRNA from 1 species
UUGACCUCGGAUCAGGUAGGAAUACCCGCUGAACUUAAGCAUAUCAAUAAGCGAGGAGA